AGGCCACUGGGCAUGCGGAAAGCCCACCCCAAGGGAACAAUCAGGGAAGAAGGAACGCAAGACGGUGGAAGCAUGCCAACCUAUUAAACCGCAAGUCAGAGAUCAAACCAUGUACUUGAAUCUCUCAAGUUCCCGGCUUAACCCUCUUCCAAGUAGCAUUGCGAAGCUGAUCUCAGACAAACGCAGCCCAUGGAAGAAUGCUAAGUGCUCGUGAUUGGUUAAAACUCAAAUAAAAAGUUGAAGUGGAGACGAUAUAUACCUGUUCCAAAAUACAGAUCCUCAUUUGAAAAUGGAAAAAGAAAAGAAAUGGAGGCAUUGUGUGAUAUUUGCCUAAAUAUAACUAAAGAGAUCCAUUUAUUUUUAGUGUUUGAUUAAAAACCCUCAAAGGAAAAGAGAAAUUUUGAUCUUUGAGAAGAGCUGUUUCAUCACAGGGUGAAGUUGUUUCCUGAGCCCUUUGAUCUGAAAUGACCUUGCGACCUGGAACCAGCAGACAGCCUGAGGGAGGCAGUGCAUGUUCUGAGCCAGGGCCUCAGGAGGCCUGCAGCUGCCAUUCUGCUUCUGUUGGAACAUGACCUCCUUGAGAACACUCCCAGGCCUGACUGCAGGGUGGGGAGACCACACAGAGCAGAGCCGAGCCACCGGGAUGAGGCCCCUAGAUCACCCAGCUCCCAGCUGACCACAGAUCAUGAGUGAUCCCGUUUCUCCCUAGGUCAAGGGUGAUGUUUUGCUCAGAGAAAACUGAAGUUUGGAUUGUUCCAGUCCUGCAUCACAUCCUGUUUCAGGCUGCCCUAAAACAAAACCAGAAACAACCAUCACCACAAAACACCAUACCUUCAAUAGUCUUCUCAGUGUUCAGAAUAAAGGCUCUGGUUUUCCCUUGGGCUCAAUUUUCAUGAUUGUGUCUCCUUUGUCAAUAUGUUUUUCAUCUUCCUCACUUUCAAACUGCACUU
rnacentral:lncRNA from 1 species